rnacentral:rRNA from 1 species
CACGUAGGGGACGAGCGUUGUCCGGAUUCAUUGGGCGUAAAGCGCGCGUAGGCGGCCCUGUAAGUCCGUUGUGAAAGUCAAAGGCUCAACCUUUGAAAGCCGAUGGAUACUGCAGGGCUAGAGUCCGGAAGAGGCGAGUGGAAUUCCUGGUGGAGCGGUGAAAUGCGCAGAUAUCAGGAGGAACACCCGUAGCGAAGGCGGCACUCUGGGCCGAUACUGACACUGAGGAGCGAAAGCGUGGGGAGCGAACAGG